UCUCGUGUAGCCUCAGUGGUAGAGCGUUCCGACCGGUGUGCGGAAAGGUCAUAGGUUCGACUCCUGUUGGGGGAA
rnacentral:tRNA from 1 species